rnacentral:ncRNA from 1 species
AAGGUUGCCGAAAGAGUGUUUCGGUAUUAAAAAGGAACCGUGUUCAAGUCACGGACAGACGUUGCUACUGUAAGUGGUCGCAGAAAGGUCUUGACCUCAAUAUCCAUUGCCAGCCCAUAAGCUAGCGAGAAGGAUGUCAAGAUUGCCACAAGUCAGGAGACUUGCCUUAUGUAUA